rnacentral:rRNA from 1 species
UACGGGGGGGGCAAGCGUUGUUCGGAAUUACUGGGCGUAAAGGGUUCGUAGGUGGCCAACUAAGUCAGACGUGAAAUCCCUCAGCUUAACUGGGGAACUGCGUCUGAGACUGGAUGGCUUGAGUGCAGGAGAGGAACGCGGAAUUCCAGGUGUAGCGGUGAAAUGCGCAGAUAUCAGGAGGAACACCGGUGGCGAAGGCGGAUCUCUGGGCCUUACCUGACGCUGAGGAGCGAAAGCAUGGGGAGCAAACAGG